UAAGAGGUACAUCACUAAUUGCAAAAGAAUCAAGUAUGUACUCAACCUCAUAAGCCUUAUCAAUGACUCUUCCAACAAGAUUUUGGAGUUCGUUAUGCUUGUUAUUGGCUUGUUCUGCUAGACGCAUGAUGAAAGGCUCGAAAAACUUAAGCUCCUCAUGGACUACUUCGAUUUGAUCCUUCACAGAAGCAAGUGAAGCAGAAUGACCAGACAGGAACUCUUUCAAGCUAGCAAGAAGGCAAUUGGAAA
rnacentral:misc_RNA from 1 species